rnacentral:rRNA from 1 species
CCCUGGUAGUCCACGCCGUAAACGAUGUCGAUUUGGAGGUUGUGCCCUUGAGGCGUGGCUUCCGGAGCUAACGCGUUAAAUCGACCGCCUGGGGAGUACGGCCGCAAGGUUAAAACUCAAAUGAAUUGACGGGGGCCCGCACAAGCGGUGGAGCAUGUGGUUUAAUUCGAUGCAACGCGAAGAACCUUACCUGGUCUUGACAUCCACAGAACUUUCCAGAGAUGGAUUGGUGCCUUCGGGAACUGUGAGACAGGUGCUGCAUGGCUGUCGUCAGCUCGUGUUGUGAAAUGUUGGGUUAAGUCCCGCAACGAGCGCAACCCUUAUCCUUUGUUGCCAGCGGUUAGGCCGGGAACUCAAAGGAGACUGCCAGUGAUAAACUGGAGGAAGGUGGGGAUGACGUCAAGUCAUCAUGGCCCUUACGACCAGGGCUACACACGUGCUACAAUGGCGCAUACAAAGAGAAGCGACCUCGCGAGAGCAAGCGGACCUCAUAAAGUGCGUCGUAGUCCGGAUUGGAGUCUGCAACUCGACUCCAUGAAGUCGGAAUCGCUAGUAAUCGUAGAUCAGAAUGCUACGGUGAAUACGUUCCCGGGCCUUGUACACACCGCCCGUCACACCAUGGGAGUGGGUUGCAAAAGAAGUAGGUAGCUUAACCUUCGGGAGGGCGCUUACCACUUUGUGAUUCAUGACUGGGGUGAAGUCGUACAAAGGGGUAAACACA